rnacentral:tRNA from 1 species
GGGCCCGUAGUUUAACCCGGACAGAACAUCCGGCUUCGGACCGGACAAUGGGGGUUCAAAUCCUCCCGGGCUCG